rnacentral:rRNA from 1 species
GACAUAGGUCGCAAACGUUAUCCGGAAUUAUUGGGCGUAAAGGAUGCGUAGCUGGUUCAGUAAGUUACUGGUGGGAAAUCGAGGCCCAACCUCGUGGAAGUUAGUAAUACUGUUGAACUUGAGUGCAGGAGAGGUUAAUGGAACUUCAUGUGGAGCGGUAAAAUGCGUAGAUAUAUGAAAGAACAUCAAUAUAGCGAAGGCAGUUAACUAUUCUGCUACUGACAUUGAGGCAUGAAAGCGUGGGGAGCAAAACGG